rnacentral:lncRNA from 1 species
AUGCUCAGGGACACAAAGCCUGCAGCGAGGGGCCGGGGCUGCGCCCUCAUCCCUCACACGAGCCCCCCGCUUUGCCUCACCCCGUCUGCCCCGAGCUGCUGGAAGCGGUGGGAAAACCCAAUUCUGAUGAGUAACGCCGCAGUUAUCUCUUUCUUCCAUCGCUACGGUGUGUCCUCGCACAUGCCAGAACCGGGCAAGAGCUUUUGUUUGGGCUGCGCCGGGAAAUCAUCGCAUUCUUUUAAUAUCUCAAAACAAAGAGUUACCACAGGGGCGAGAAAAAAAAAAAAUACAACACAAAAAACCCAGACCACACGGGGAGGUGCUGCCGAGUUCCCCAGAAACGUCCAUACAAUGCAUUUGCGUGGGGGCAGCCCGCAGACAUUCUGUUCCCCCCACGGAUCCCUGCUCCCUGCACUCAGGACUGAGCACCGGCCUGUGGCUGUGCCUGCCUGGGCUCUGCUCUCGUUGAUUUUGCCCUCGGUACGUGGUUGCUGGUUGGUUUUUAUUCCGAGAGCGAGCCGGGUGCGUCGCGGUUCUGUGUGCGCGGCUGUGGCUGUCCGUGCAUCCCCCCCCCCCCGACGUAGCCCUGCGUCUCUCUCAGCCUGGUGCACCCGGGCGCUUUGCUGCGCACCCUCCCCACACCCUGCCCCCCCCCCCUGCCCCCCCGGCUUCUCCUUUUGGGGGCAGCUACCUCCCCACAUCCCCUUCUGCAAAGCCUGCAGCACGCCCCUUCCCACCCCCCCUGCAGCGCGGGACCCCGCUUUUCUCCCUUCUCAUCCCACCCAGCGCUCUCCUUUACAGCGCUGCCCCGCGCAUCCCCAACUUGUCAGCUCGGCCGCACCCGUCUCCACGCCCCCCCCCUUAAUACCCGCGGUGCCGGGGGUCCCCCUGCACCUGCCCAGCCCCUCGCCCCCUCCUCCCCGCACCGGCGGCCGGGCGGGGCGGGCUGCACGGCGGCCAAUGGGCGCGGGGGGGCGCGGCCGUCGGGGUCGCCGCAUUUAG